rnacentral:rRNA from 1 species
GGAGGUUGUGGCCUUGAGCCGUGGCUUUCGGAGCUAACGCGUUAAGUAGACCGCCUGGGGAGUACGGUCGCAAGAUUAAAACUCAAAUGAAUUGACGGGGGCCCGCACAAGCGGUGGAGCAUGUGGUUUAAUUCGAUGCAACGCGAAGAACCUUACCUACUCUUGACAUCUACAGGAUCCUGCGGAGACGCGGGAGUGCCUUCGGGAACUGUAAGACAGGUGCUGCAUGGCUGUCGUCAGCUCGUGUUGUGAAAUGUUGGGUUAAGUCCCGCAACGAGCGCAACCCUUAUCCUUGUUUGCCAGCACGUAAUGGUGGGAACUCCAGGGAGACUGCCGGUGAUAAACCGGAGGAAGGUGGGGACGACGUCAAGUCAUCAUGGCCCUUACGAGUAGGGCUACACACGUGCUACAAUGGCGCAUACAGAGGGCAGCAAGCUAGCGAUAGUGAGCGAAUCCCAAAAAGUGCGUCGUAGUCCGGAUUGGAGUCUGCAACUCGACUCCA